rnacentral:misc_RNA from 1 species
GGUCAAAAUUGUCGAUGCACCACACAACUAUGGGGUCGCUGAUUGGAUAACCACGUGACUGAAAUUUAAUUUGAUUUCCAUGGAUUUCCUUUCAGAACUUCUCGUUUGGGCAUGAAUAAAGAAACAUUAAUGAGAAACCGUCUUUUUAUAUUCUGUUUUUACUUAAUUGUUACUUAAGAUAUAUCAACAAAGAGUUCUUAAACGGCAUUUGUUUUGUAUCUUCCGAUCUCAUAAUUUGUUUGCAAUUUUCAUGUAAGGUUUGUCAACAUUAUGUCUUGUCUCUAACCUAAUAAGAAUUAAAGUAAAAUGUCUAUCAUUCUUU